rnacentral:lncRNA from 1 species
AUGGACAUACACGGGAUCCGAAUUUUGACCCGGAACUCUUUUCUCUCUAUCUUCCAUCUCAAAACCCUAGCGCAGCCAUGUCUGAAGUGGAGGUUGCUUGAAGUAGAGGUUGCUUGAAGCGGAUUUUUACGGCGGCGGAUAAACACUAAUUAAAUGAUUCUUCUUCACUCCGAUUAUACCUUAAUCAAAUGAUUUCUUCAUUCGCCUCUCUCAGCUCUGAAACCCUAGAUUCACAACUUCAUCAACUGCUCUGAUUUUGUUGGUUUAGGAAACUAAAGAUAUCACAAAUCUUUUGUAUAAAUUAUAUCCCUAAUCUAUUUUUUCAUCUUCUUUGAUUUUAGGGCUUUUACUUCAAAACGGGCGGAUGUUCACUGUUAUUAAAAAAUCUAUAAACAAUGUUUUUUUUAUGUUGAUUAGAUGAUGAAUUGUUGAUUACUGUUAUUAAUAUAUGAAUUGGCUUAUGGAUGUACAGGAUGACAGAGAAAUUGUUGUGAAGAACCUUUCAGAGACAUCAAAAUAGGGGAAUAGAGAAUUUACAGAUGAAGAGACGGUUAAGAAUGGCCACAAUAGGGCUUCGAUGGUGGCGCCUACAGAUGAGAUUCAACUCACCAAAGUUAAGAAAUCCCUAAGUUGCAUUUUUGGUUAUUUUGAUUUGUUAUUUUUUCAAAUUUCAUCUCCAUUUUUAAUUUGUUGUUUAUGAUGCAGGUUUUUUUUGCAUAUCGAUUCUCUAUUUAAUGUCAUGAUUGUAGUGUUAGUUUGUUUUUGGAAUCAUGAAGUUCUAGGUUUGGAGUUGAAAGUGAACUCCCAUUAAGUUCACAGCUUCAAGAUAUGAUCUUGAGCCAGAAGAUUACCAUCUUCACAAGCAUUGUGAUAUCAGAAUAAUAACAAGAGGUCUAAUGUCUAAUUGUUAGAAGAAGACUAUAGUCGUCAAAUUGUAGGAUUAAAGUUUUUUUAAAGAUUUUGUUUGUGGGAGAUUGAGGUGGAGGUGGAUUAGAGAGAGGUUUAAAUGGAGUGUCGAUGGGAAGAGAUAAGCUAAGAAGGAAGACGAUGGAACACAAGGCUUUGAACUUGCAGGAAGUAGCUUUUGGUGGUUUAGUGGUGAAAAGUGUCGCCUUUGGCUCUUAUCAGUUCGCCUGUAUGUUGUUCUUUUUUUGAUCUGGUCUACUCGGGGGAAAACAUGUUGCUGGUUGUUCAAAGCCAUAGGGCCCAUAACCUACUUGUGGAUUUUGUUCGUAAAGGCAUCUUAUGUGGAAACAAGAUGAAGGCAAACUUCUUCCCGUGAUAGAGGUGGCAAAAAUUCAGUAAUUACAGUAGAUAACAUAAAGGUUGAUAUAUGUGUAUUUGCUUUUGAUGUCAUGCUUGCUAAUGGGGAACAGUAAUCAUCUUGAUCCUGCUCUUAGAUAUUUUAUGAAUUUUUAAUUUUAAUUCACUAAACUGUAAAAAUGAUGGUGGUUAAACUUUUCACAUGCUCUUUUAUGACAGGUUGUUGGGUUUACCUUUGCGUCAAAGAAGAAAAUGUGAGAUUACUAAUUUGCAUAUGUUUUUAUAGUUCAUCUAACGAGGCCUAAUGCAUUAGUGUUACUCUUGAUUCAAUAUUUUACUCAUAG